rnacentral:rRNA from 1 species
AGAGUUUGAUCCUGGCUCAGGACGAACGCUGGCGGCGUGCUUAACACAUGCAAGUCGAACGAUGAAGCCUAGCUUGCUAGGUGGAUUAGUGGCGAACGGGUGAGUAAUACGUGAGUAACCUACCUUUAACUCUGGGAUAAGCCCGGGAAACUGGGUCUAAUACCGGAUACGACCAAUCUCCGCAUGGGGUGUUGGUGGAAAGCGUUAUGUAGUGGUUAUAGAUGGGCUCACGGCCUAUCAGCUUGUUGGUGAGGUAACGGCUCACCAAGGCGACGACGGGUAGCCGGCCUGAGAGGGUGACCGGCCACACUGGGACUGAGACACGGCCCAGACUCCUACGGGAGGCAGCAGUGGGGAAUAUUGCACAAUGGGCGCAAGCCUGAUGCAGCGACGCCGCGUGAGGGAUGACGGCCUUCGGGUUGUAAACCUCUGUUAGCAGGGAAGAAGAGAGAUUGACGGUACCUGCAGAGAAAGCGCCGGCUAACUACGUGCCAGCAGCCGCGGUAAUACGUAGGGCGCGAGCGUUGUCCGGAAUUAUUGGGCGUAAAGAGCUUGUAGGCGGUUUGUCGCGUCUGCUGUGAAAGGCCGGGGCUUAACUCCGUGUAUUGCAGUGGGUACGGGCAGACUAGAGUGCAGUAGGGGAGACUGGAAUUCCUGGUGUAGCGGUGAAAUGCGUAGA